AUUGAACGCUGGCGGAAUGCUUUACACAUGCAAGUCGAACGGCAGCACGGACUUCGGUCUGGUGGCGAGUGGCGAACGGGUGAGUAAUACAUCGGAACGUGCCCAAUCGUGGGGGAUAACGUAGCGAGAGCUACGCUAAUACCGCAUACGAUCUAAGGAUGAAAGCGGGGGAUCGCAAGACCUCGCGCGAUUGGAGCGGCCGAUGGCAGAUUAGGUAGUUGGUAGGGUAAAGGCCUACCAAGCCGACGAUCUGUAGCUGGUCUGAGAGGAUGAUCAGCCACACUGGGACUGAGACACGGCCCAGACUCCUACGGGAGGCAGCAGUGGGGAAUUUUGGACAAUGGACGCAAGUCUGAUCCAGCCAUUCCGCGUGCAGGAUGAAGGCCCUCGGGUUGUAAACUGCUUUUGUACAGAACGAAAAGGCUCUGGUUAAUACCUAGGGCUCAUGACGGUACUGUAAGAAUAAGCACCGGCUAACUACGUGCCAGCAGCCGCAGUAA
rnacentral:rRNA from 1 species